rnacentral:misc_RNA from 1 species
AACGCACAUUGCGCCCGCGAGUAUUCUCGCGGGCAUGCCUGUUCGAGCGUCAUUUCAACCAUCAAGCCCCAGGCUUGCGUUGGGUCCCUGCGGCUGCCCGCAGGCCCUGAAAUACAGUGGCGGGCUCGCUAGUCACUCCGAGCGCAGUAAUACAUCUCGCUCAGGGCGUGCGGCGGGUGCCGGCCGUGAAACAACCCCCUUCUAAAGUUUGACCUCGGAUCAGGUAGGAAUACCCGCUGAACUUAA